rnacentral:rRNA from 1 species
CUGGAUUCGCUAGUAAUCGCGCAUCAGCCACGGCGCGGUGAAUACGUUCCCGGGCCUUGUACACACCGCCCGUCAAGCCAUGGAAGCCGGGGGUGCCUGAAGUGCGCUGCCGCAAGGAGCGCCCUAGGGUAAAACCGGUGACUGGGGCUAAGUCGUAACAAGGUAAC